rnacentral:rRNA from 1 species
GAAAGAUUCAUCGGAAGAGGAUGGGCAUGCGGCGCAUUAGCUAGACGGCGGGGUAACGGCCCACCGUGGCGACGAUGCGUAGGGGUUCUGAGAGGAAGGUCCCCCACACUGGUAUUGAGACACGGACCAGACUCCUACGGGAGGCAGCAGUGAGGAAUAUUGGUCAAUGGGAGAGAUCCUGAACCAGCCAAGCCGCGUGAGGGAAGACGGCCCUAUGGGUUGUAAACCUCUUUUGUCGGAGAACAAAACCCGGGACGUGUCCCGGACUGCGUGUAUCCGAAGAAAAAGCAUCGGCUAACUCCGUGCCAGCAGCCGCGGUAAUACGGAGGAUGCGAGCGUUAUCCGGAUUUAUUGGGUUUAAAGGGUGCGUAGGCGGUCCGUUAAGUCAGCGGUAAAAUUGCGGGGCUCAACCCCGUCGAGCCGUUGAAACUGGCAGACUUGAGUUGGCGAGAAGUACGCGGAAUGCGCGGUGUAGCGGUGAAAUGCAUAGAUAUCGCGCAGAACUCCGAUUGCGAAGGCAGCGUACCGGCGCCAGACUGACGCUGAGGCACGAAAGCGUGGGGAUCGAACAGGAUUAGAUACCCUGGUAGUCCACGCAGUAAAC